rnacentral:tRNA from 1 species
UGGGGUGUAGCUUAAUGGUAAAGUAUUUGCCUAACAUGUUUCAGGCCCUGGGUUCAAUCCCCAGCAUGGCAU